rnacentral:lncRNA from 1 species
CAGUCACAUGACCAUCACUGGCCUAUCAGGCACUGAGCCACAAGUGACCUCGCAACCACAAACAGCAGCCAUGCACCUAGCACUGGCCUAUCAGGCACUGAGCCACAAGUGACCUCACAACCAGAAACAGCAGUCAUGGGCCUAGCACUGACCUAUCAGGCACUAAGCCACCACUGACCUCACAACCACAAACAGCAGCCAUGCGCCUAGCACUGGCCUAUCAGGCACUGAGACACAAGUGACCUCACAAUCACAAAUAUCAGCCAUGGGCCUAGCACUGGCCUAUCAGGCACUGAGCCACCACCGACCUCACAAUCACAAACAGCAGCCAUGGGCCUAGCACUGGCCUAUCAGGCACUCAGCAACCAACGACCUCACAACCACAAACAGCACCCAUGGGCCCUAUACUGGCCUAUCAGGCACUGAGCCACCCCUGACCUCAAAACCACAAACAGCAGCCAUGGGCCUAGCACUGGCCUACCAGACACUGACCCAGAAGUGACCUCACAACCACAAAUUGCAGGCAUGCAGCUAGCACUGGCCUGUCAGGCACUGAGCCACAAGUGACCUCACAACCACAAACAGCAGCCAUGGGCCUAGCACUGGCCUAUCAGGCAC